AUGGCUGUCGUCAGCUCGUGUCGUGAGAUGUUGGGUUAAGUCCCGCAACGAGCGCAACCCUUACUUUUAGUUGCUACCAUUUAGUUGGGCACUCUAAAAGAACUGCCGGUGAUAAGCUGGAGGAAGGUGGGGAUGACGUCAAGUCCUCAUGGCCCUUACGUGUUGGGCUACACACGUGCUACAAUGGUACUUACAGUGAGAUGCUAGGACGCGAGUCUAAGCCAAUCCCUAAAAAGUACCUCAGUUCGGAUUGCACUCUGCAACUCGAGUGCAUGAAGCUGGAAUUACUAGUAAUCGCGGAUCAGCGCGCCGCGGUGAAUACGUUCCCGGGUCUUGUACACACCGCCCGUCACACCAUGGAAGUUGGUUACACCUUAAGGCAAAGUGUAAAACCUUUGACUACGGUACGAUCAGCAACUGGGGUGAAGUCGUAACAAGGUAGCCGUAGGGGAACCUGCGGCUGGAUCACCUCCUUUCUAAGGAAAUCGAAAAAUAUGAAAACAAUUAUUUUCGAUUUAAAAAAAACCGGUGAUGUGACCGUCCUCAUUUCUCUUCUUUCAAUGUCUCUGAGUAAAAGUUUAUGUGAGGGGCCGGUAGCUCAGGUGGUUAGAGCGCACCCCUGAUAAGGGUGAGGUCGGAAGUUCGAAUCUUCCUCGGCCCACCAAUAUUACGGGGGAUUAGCUCAGCUGGGAGAGCGCCUGAUUUGCAUUCAGGAGGCCAGCGGUUCGAUCCCGCUAUCCUCCACCAAAAUUUGAGACAUUUAGCUUUUUUAAAUUGUGAAUAUUAUUAAUAUUAUCAAUAUCUAUAUCCGAUUGUUUUCAGAUAUUUUUUUGAAAACAAUCAAAUCAAAAAUUUGAAUUUUACACAGAAAUUUUUUUCUGUGCAUAAAUCAAGCGUUUAAGGGCGAUUGGCGGAUGCCUUGGCACUGUAAGACGAUGAAGGACGUGGUAUGCUGCGAUAAGUUUCGGGGAGCCGUAUGCAGGCUUUGAUCCGAAAAUUUCCGAAUGGGGAAACCCGG
rnacentral:sRNA from 1 species